CAUUUGUUCUCUAAAUAAGGACUUGUAUGAAUGGCCACACGAGGGUUCUACUGUCUCUUACUUCCAAUCAGUGAAAUUGACCUCCCCGUGAAGAGGCGGGAAUGAAUAAAUAAGACGAGAAGACCCUAUGGAGCUUUAACUAAUCAACUCAAAGAAAACAUAAUAAAUCACUCAGGGAAUAACAAUAUUUUCUUAUGAAUUGACAGUUUCGGUUGGGGUGACCUCGGAGAAUAAAAAAUCCUCCGAACGAUUCUAAAGACUAGACCUACAAGUCAAAUCACUCAAUCGCUUAUUGAUCCAAAAAGCUUGAUCAACGGAACAAGUUACCCUAGGGAUAACAGCGCA
rnacentral:rRNA from 1 species